GAAAUGUUACAUGACCCCACGUUUAUUCCUCUAAAUUCUGAUCCCCAUUCAAAUUCCAAUCCAAACCGAGACUGUCAUCCCGAGAGAGUCAGGUGUACACCGGAUAUGUGGUGUAUAUUCACAAGAUCUGCCCCCGCCAUUUUGAAAGUAACUGAAAGUGACUGGAUGGAAUAGAGAGUAAUCAAGAAGAUGUGAUGGAGGAACUGUCUACUGUGCUUCAUCGUGACGAACCCCAUGAACCCGUGGUGAUAUGAGACACAGCUGAUGAGGAUCAGGAUUAUCAAAACAGCCUACUGGAGGGGCUGAUCAAAUUGGUUUCCUCCCAGCCUGCAUCAUCCGGUAUCUCAGCUAUGAAGAGAAGACGUGCUCCAGCUCGAGCAAGUGACAACAGUAAGACUAUGUUGCGUAUUGCCUUGUGGAAUUACCUGCGUCAGCAUGGAGAAAAUGUGAAGAAGUGGCAUAAAAAACCCACUCCUGCACUGUGAGCACAGGUAAAAGAACUACAAGACAGAUCAACCACCACGGCGAUCUCUUCCAAAAAGGUGACCGCUCCAGUUGCUGUGGGACAGGAUUAUUGCCUUAUAUUGUGUUAUCUUGCAUUCCGAAAUUAUAUUUGGUAAAUUAGCUUUCCUCCUCA